rnacentral:rRNA from 1 species
GACGAACGCUGGCGGCGUGCUUAACACAUGCAAGUCGAACGAAAAGGCCCUGCUUUCGGGGUGCUCGAGUGGCGAACGGGUGAGUAACACGUGGGUGAUCUGCCCCUUACUUUGAGAUAAGUCUGUGAAACUGGGUCUAAUACUGAAUAGGACCAUUCUGUAGGUGGUGUGGUGGAUAGAUUAGUUUGGGUAGGGUUUGAGCUUGGGGCCGAUCAGCUUGUUGUUGGGGUAUUGGCCGAACAAGGCGUCGCAGGGUAGCCGGCCUGAGAGGGUGGACGGCAACGUUGGGACUGAGAUGGGGGCCAGAAUCCUGCGGGAGGCAGCAAUGGGCAAAAGUGUACAAGGGGAGCGAGGCUGAUGCAGCGACGGUCCGUGGGGGAUGAAGGCCUUCUGGUUGUAAAGAACUUUUAGGUAUGACGAAGCCCUUGUGGUGACGGUAGUGGUAGAAGAAGCACCGGCUAACUACGUG